GACGAACGCUGGCGGCGUGCUUAACACAUGCAAGUCGAACGGAAAGGCCCUGCUUUUGUGGGGUGCUCGAGUGGCGAACGGGUGAGUAACACGUGAGUAACCUGCCCUUGACUUUGGGAUAACUUCAGGAAACUGGGGCUAAUACCGGAUAGGAGCUCCUGCUGCAUGGUGUUGGUUGGAAAGUUUCGGCGGUUGGGGAUGGACUCGCGGCUUAUCAGCUUGUUGGUGGGGUAGUGGCUUACCAAGGCUUUGACGGGUAGCCGGCCUGAGAGGGUGACCGGCCACAUUGGGACUGAGAUACGGCCCAGACUCCUACGGGAGGCAGCAGGGGGGAAUAUUGCACAAUGGGCGGAAGCCUGAUGCAGCAACGCCGCGUGCGGGAUGACGGCCUUCGGGUUGUAAACCGCUUUCGCCUGUGACGAAGCGUGAGUGACGGUAAUGGGUAAAGAAGCACCGGCUAACUACGUG
rnacentral:rRNA from 1 species